UGGGGAAUAUUGCACAAUGGGCGCAAGCCUGAUGCAGCGACGCCGCGUGGGGGAUGACGGCCUUCGGGUUGUAAACUCCUUUCGCUAGGGAAGAAGCCACUUGUGGUGACGGUACCUGGAUAAGAAGCACCGGCUAACUACGUGCCAGCAGCCGUGGUAAUACGUAGGGUGCGAGCGUUGUCUGGAAUUACUGGGCGUAAAGAGCUCGUAGGUGGUUUGUCGCGUCGUCUGUGAAAUCCCGGGGCUUAACUUCGGGCGUGCAGGCGAUACGGGCAUAACUAGAGUGCUGUAGGGGAGACUGGAAUUCCUGGUGUAGCGGUGAAAUGCGCAGAUAUCAGGAGGAACACCGAUGGCGAAGGCAGGUCUCUGGGCAGUUACUGACGCUGAGGAGCGAAAGCAUGGGUAGCGAACAGG
rnacentral:rRNA from 1 species